rnacentral:rRNA from 1 species
CCUACGGGUGGCUGCAGUGAGGAAUAUUGGUCAAUGGGCGCUAGCCUGAACCAGCCAAGUAGCGUGAAGGAUGACUGCCCUAUGGGUUGUAAACUUCUUUUAUAUGGGAAUAAAGUGCAGUAUGUAUACUGCUUUGCAUGUACCUUAUGAAUAAGAAUCGGCUAACUCCGUGCCAGCAGCCGCGGUAAUACGGAGGAUCCGAGCGUUAUCCGGAUUUAUUGGGUUUAAAUGGAGCGUAGGCGGGUUGUUAAGUCAGUUGUGAAAUUUUGCGGCUCAACCGUAAAAUUGCAGUUGAUACUGGCAUCCUUGAGUAUAGUAGAGGUAGGCGGAAUUCGUGGUGUAGCGGUGAAAUGCUUAGAGAUCACGAAGAACACCGAUUGCGAAGGCAGCUUACUAGACUGCCACUGACGCUGAUGCGCGAAAGUGUGGGUAUCAAACAGGAUUAGAUACCCCUGUAGUC